CUUAAGGAGAUCGAGAAAACUGCAUCAGACGAUGCAAAAGUAGAUCUUCAGAUGUUAGAAACAACAGUUGACAAUGUUCUGGAGAAAAUGCGUGCUACAGCUGAGAGAAUGGAGGGAACCCUGUCAGAAAAA